ensembl:lncRNA SDHAP4 SDHA pseudogene 4
AGUCUGCGCAGGGACUGGCGGGACUGCGCGGAGGCGACUGCAGACGUAUCGGGGGUCCGGAGCCUGUCGCGGCUGCUAAGCGCUCGGCGCCUGGCGCUGGCGCUGGCCAAGGCUCCUUUACUGUUCCAGGAUACAGAUCUCCUGAUUCAGGUGUCCAGUGCCUUUUGAACUGAACGCAAGCCCUCCUGGACGAUUGGAACUGUAAUGUGGAAAGGGCUCUGAUGGAGCCAGUUAAAAUGCUUCAUUAUUUGCAAAAUACCACAUACAGUAAUACGAUCUGGAUGUCUUUCCCCUCCUCCACUAAGUAGCAUAAGUGAAGACUUCCCAGAGGAAGUGCGCCUUUUUCAUCUCGUAUCUGAGUCAUGUUGCAAACAGGAACCCGAGGUGUUCACUUCACUGUUGAAGGAACGAGAGGGCAUCUGCUAAAGUUUCAGAUUCCAUUUCUGCUCAGUAUCCAGUAGUGGAUCAUGAAUUUGAUGCAGUGGUGGUAGGCGCUGGAGGGGCAGGCUUUGCGAGCUGCAUUUGGCCUUUCCGAGGCAGAGUUUGAUACAGCAUGUGUUACCAAGCUGUUUCCUACCAGGUCACACACUGUUGCAGCGCAGCUAGAAAAUUAUGGCAUGCCGUUUAGCAGAACUGAAGAUGGGAAGAUUUAUCAGCGUGCAUUUGGUGGACAGAGCCUCAAGUUUGGAAAGGGCAGGCAGGCCCAUCGGUGCUGCUGUGUGGCUGAUCGGACCGGCCACUCAAUAUUGCACACCUCAUAUGGGAGGUCUCUGAGAUAUGAUACCAGCUGUUUUGUGGAGUAUUUUGCCUUGGAUCUCCUGAUAGAGAACAGGGAGUGCCGUGGUGUCAUUGCACUGUGCAUAGAGGACGGGUCCAUCCAUCACAUAAGAGCAAAGAACACUGUUGUUGCCACAGGAGUCAAGAAACUUUUCUUUUGAGCUAUUGACAGCUUUUAACAAGUUAUUAUACUCCUAUGAACAAAAUUUGGAGCAUAUUUGUUUCUCUCUGCCUGAUUUCUCCUGAAUUUGGAAACUAUUUGACAUGAGGAUUCUCAACCUGAUAAAAAUGAGCUUUCCUAAUAACUCAAGACCCAUCUGCCUAGGAAUAAACCAUCCCAGCUGUGAGAGACCAGACGAAACCUGAGACCAGAGACUCGUUUUCUUCUAAAAUGCUUUCUCCAAAAGAUUUUUAAACAGAAAAAGGGGGAAAUGUGAAAGGAAAAGAAAACUUGAGGCCCCCAAAAUCACUAAGCUAAAAGGAAAAGUCAAGCUGGGAAUGGCUUAGGGCAAACCUGCCUCCCAUUCUAUGCAAAGUCAUCCCUCCGUGCACUGAGAUAAAUGCUUAUCUAAUUGCCUCCUUUGGAGAGGCUCAUCAGAAACUCAAAAUAAUGCAACCAUUUGACUCUCACCUACCUGUGACCUGGAAGAUCCCUCUCUGCUUGAGUUGUCCUGCUUUUCUGGAUGGAACCAAUGUUCAUCUUACAUAUAUUGAUUGAUGUCUCAUGUCUCCCUAAAAUGUAUAAAACCAAGCUGUGCCCUGACCACCUUGGGCACAUGUCGUCAGGACCUCCUGAGGCUGUGCCACAGGCAUGCAGCCUCAACCUUGGCAAAAUAAACUUUCUAAAUUGACU